rnacentral:lncRNA from 1 species
CGUCAUCAGGAUCAUCAGCAUCAUCAGCAGCAUCACCACCAUUAUCAGCAUCAGGAUCACCAUCUAACAUUUUUUGAGGGCUUCAAAUGCACAAGGCACUGGGCUGAUUUCUUUACAUGCAUUGUCUCACUUGUUUCCAACAAUGACAGCCCCCAAAGUUAAGUAUUAUUAUUGUUAAUAUCCUCAUUUACAGAUAUAUAAACUGAAACUUAGAGAGAUUAAGCAACUUGCUUAGGGCCACAGAGCUAUGUUAAGUGUAAUUUUCAAAAAUGUAAAUCACAAUUCUCAGGAAAAUAUAAAAUGAUACCAUGUCAAAGAUUUUAUUUAACUCAAUAACCAAUGAGAGAACCAAUAAGAAGUUUAAACUUAUUCAAAGAGCAUUAGAGAAUUUAGAUAUAUGCAGGCAAUUUAACAACAAAAAAAUAAGGCGAGUAUGAUAGGCUAAAUAAUGUUCCCUCUGGAAAAAAAUCAAUCCUGAUCCCUGGAAUUUCUGAAUAUGUUACUUAUGUUACUUUAUAAAUAGAAAGGACUUUACAGAUGUGAUUAAAUUAUGGGUUUUGAGAUGGGGAGAUUAUUCUGGAUUAUCUGGGUAGGUCCAAUGUAAUCACAUGCAUUCUUAUAGGAGGGAGACAGGAGUGUCAGCUGAGAGAGAAGACAUAAGAACGAAAGCGGAGGUUGGAGUGAUGUGCUUUGAAGACGGAGGAAGAGGCCAUAAGCCAAGGAAUGAACCUCACCAGCACCACAGGACCCACCACCACCAUCACAAGCCUUAUCAUCACCCCUGCCUUCUCUAUCCCUGCAGCAGUCCGGGGAUAGACACAGGGAGAGGACAGCCAUCUUACCAGCCGAGGAAGGAAGCCUCAGAGAAACCAACACUGCCAACACUCGGAUCUCUGGCCUCCAGGAUUGUGACCGCACCCACCACAGUUAUCACAGGGGCAGCUAUAAUGGCAGCAGCUGCAGCAGCAGUGAGCCCCAUGCCAAUAGAGAGACAUAGGCAGUCACACCCAUUGUAGAACUGAUCACUUAGGCCAAGUUAUUAAUUUUGUACUGGAGGAAACUGAAGUCCAGAGAGGUCAACUGACUUAUUCAAGCCUAUGGAGCUCUUAAAUAGAAAACUAAGUCCAAAGAUCCUAUUUUUUGGCCUCACAUUUUCUUUCUUUCUACUGGUCCACAUGACUUCAUCCCAGCCCAUCAGCCCUGGAGGCUGGGCUAAGGACAGCCCCACUAUUUGAGCCUGCUCUUCCUUCCUAUCAGGAGCAAACCAUCAUGAAAAUCAGCCCCAUUAAACUCUGAUUGUCUGUG